GAUGAACGCUGGCGGCGUGCCUAAUACAUGCAAGUCGAGCGAACGGACGAGAAGCUUGCUCCCUUGCUGUUAGCGGCGGACGGGCGAGUAACACGUGGAUAACCUACCUAUAAGACUUGGAUAAUUUCGGGAAACCGGAGAUAAUACUGGAUCAUAUUUUGAACCGCUUGGUUCAAAAGUGAAUGACGGUUUUGCCGUCACUUUUAGACGGUUCCGCGUUGCAUUAGCUAGUUGGUAAGGUAACGGCUUACCAAGGCAACGAUGCGUAGCCGACCUGAGAGGAUGAUCGGCCACACUGGAACUGAGACACGGUCCAGACUCCUACGGGAGGCAGCAGUGGGGAAUCUUCCACAAUGGGCGAAAGCCUGACGGAGCAACGCCGCGUGAGUGAUGAAGGUCUUCGGGUCGUAAAACUCUGUUGUUAGGAAAGAACAUAUGUGUAAUUAACUGUGCACAUCUUGACGGUACCUAAACAGAAAGCCACGGCUAACUACGUG
rnacentral:rRNA from 1 species